AGGAAAUCAUAGCAAAUUUUUUUUUCUCUCUUCUAAUCUAUUCCAAUGUCACUUGCUUUAGCUUGGUUCUGUUCAUUUCAAUCUGUAGCAUCUUAGAAUAAUUCUCCACAGUAAAGGAGGAGGAAGUAAAGAACAUAAACAAAUACUCUCUCUAUCUGCAGCCACUUUUAUUAUUUCAUAGUGUAUUUUUAAGGAUUAAGCCUAUUCCUGAAAGUUCUUGGAUUAAUUAUGGAUUUACUGCCCUGAACUGUUGACAGACUGCAAUAAGAGUUGCAAACUUCUUGCAUAUCACCAGACAAAUCUCAGUAAAGUUCAUCCACAUUGAGAUAGUUUUCUCUUCCUUGUCUUGGAAAAUGUUUUGUCUGGCCUGGUUGAUAGGAAAAACAAGUAUAUCAAAAAUCAAAUAAAUGCUAAGCUGCUUAGUGCAUAUAGCUCCAAAGGGAAUUACACCAGUGUUGUGUAACUAAAUUGUUCUGACAUUAACGAGAAGCUAUAAUGGAAUAUUACAGUUUAGUUUUCUACAAUUACAUUUUCUGUUUACUCCCUUCUUAGUUUUAUUACCAAAAAAAAAAAAAAGAAAGAAAAAGCCCCACCAAGUCUGUACAGACAAAAUGUUGAGUAUUUGAAAUGUGGUGGGGCAGAAAAAGCCAUUGGAGCAAGCCACAGAGGUGUUUGUUUGUCCGUCUGUUGUUUAGAUACCUAACUUCCUACUGAUGAGAAAGUUAGCUAAAAAAAAAAAAACUCUAUACUGUACCUGAAACUUUGUACAUAGUGCUCAUGAAGUGGUAUCUAGCUAUAUGCUUUCAGGAUGAUUUCUGAGAGGAAUUUUGAUAUCACUAAUCCUGCCCAACAUUCCCUUUAUUUGCACAUUUGUGUCCAGAGAAUAAUUAACGUUGCUGGUUUACAAAUUGCAGAUUACUUCCUCCUCAGCAUCAGAGGUGAGCUCUGGACUGUUGCAAUUUAUAGGCAUCAAUGCUUCAAGAUACAGAUAUGAGAACUCUCUGGAGUUCUAGAUCCAACUCCCUGGAGGACUCUCUGGAGUUCUAUAUUCCAACUUUCUAAGUGUGGACAACAUCUGGACAGAUAAGAACAGAUCCUCGAUCCUACGUUCUUCUGCUAGUUAAAACAGUCUAUUCCUGAGGUAAAACACAUUGACUGAUACAUGGUCCUUAGAAUAGGGACCA
rnacentral:lncRNA from 1 species